rnacentral:lncRNA from 1 species
UCUGCUGUCAUCUGCCCCUAUCUCAUCUGUAAUUGUUUUGACCCUUUCUAGGUACACAAACGGGUCAUCACCGGUUUCAAACUGGGGAGCACCCAACUUCAUAUAGUCGGUCAUCUUGACCUUGCUCCCACCAGAUGAGCUAGGCUUAGGUAUAUGGGUUGCUGGAACUGUGGGUUCUACUGAUGAUGGAGGAGGUGCAACAUUUUCUGAGGUAAG